GAAAAACGCUGGGGGAGUUUCGACUGAGAGCAACCGUUUACGGUUGCGACCCUUAGUACCUGAUCCGGGUAAUGCCGGCGGAGGGAAGCGCAUGUUAUCAACA
rnacentral:ncRNA from 2 species